rnacentral:sRNA from 1 species
UUUUAAUCAAUUGGUUAAAGGUUCGAGCCGAGCGAAGCGAGACAGCAACGCGUAAGCGUUGACCCGAAGGGCGAAUCCGCAGGAUGAGUAAU